rnacentral:rRNA from 1 species
AUUGAACGCUGGCGGCAGGCUUAACACAUGCACGUCGAACGAGUGGCUGACGGUUGAGUAAUGCUUGGGAAUCUAGCUUAUGGCGGGGUAUAACUACGGUCAACUGUAGCUAAUCCCGCGUACCAUAGGAUGUGCCCCAGUGGGAUUAGGUAGUUGGUGAGGUAAAGGCUCACCAACACGACGUUCUCUAGCUGGUCUGAGAGGAUGACCAGACACACUGUGACUGAGACACGGCCCAGACUCCUACGGGAGGCAGCAGUGGGGAAUAGUGCGCAAUGGGGGCAACCCUGACGCAGCCAUGCCGCGUGUAUGAAGAAGGCCUUAGGGUUGUAAAGUACUUUCAGCGGGGAGGCGUUACCCGCAGAAGAAGCACCGGCUAACUCCGUGCCAGCAGCCGCGGUAAUAC